rnacentral:rRNA from 1 species
AUGGAAGCACGAAUGAGGCUGGUAGUUCAGGCAGCAACACUGAUUCUUGUGAUUCAGGCAUGGCUCAUGUUCAUGCAUAGGAGAGUUGUUCGUCAUGGUGAGAGACCUGGCAUUUGUUAUGCUCCAAUGCUUAUGUGGGAGCAGAAGAGGAUCACCAAUCUGAACUACAUCUACAACUACGAUGACACAGAGGCCAUGUGGAUUCUUGGAAUGAAAAGAACACCAUUUGCCAGACUUGUCUAGAUUUUCAGGAGGAAAAGGCUGCUGUAAGAUAGCAUCCACACCAGUAUGGACGAGCAAGUGGCCAUGUUCCUCUAUGUUGCUGGCCAUAACCAGAGGUUCCGAGUUAUACACAACACGUUCAGGGGAUCAAUUGAGACCAUCUCAAGGUACUUCAAGCAAGUGGUCUAUCCUGUUGGGGAGCUCAGAGGAGAGAUGAUCAACUCACCAACCGGCCAGACUCCUACCAAGAUUCACACUAAUCCAAGAUGGUAUCCAUACUUCUAGGUGAGUACUAACAGUAUGUGGCUUGAUAUGCUUGUAUUGUUCAAGGUGAGAACUAACACAAUCUUCAUUUGCCAUUCCAGGAUUGCAUUGGGGCAAUAG